rnacentral:snRNA from 1 species
ACUCCCUUCAGCAGCACAUAUCCUAAAUUGGGAUGAUACAGAGGUUAGCAUGGCCCCUGUGCAAGGAUGAUAUGCAAAUUCAUGGAGCAGUCCAUGUUUUU